AAUCAGAAAAAGAAAUAAUAUAAUAGCUAGAAAACAUAAUUUAGAAGAAAGUCGGAAAAGGUUAUUAGAAGCAAACAGACUACAUAAAUCUUAUAAUACAUCUAGACAAGUUUGUGAAGAUUUAGUAAGCGCAUUAAAUUGGGAAAUACAAGGUUGUGAGAGAGACUUAGAAAAUAAUACUUCGGGAAUAAAGUGGCUUAAGGAACAUAUUAAUAGAAAAUCUUAUCAAUUAGGAUAAUAAAUGCCAAUAAGAUAU
rnacentral:lncRNA from 1 species